rnacentral:rRNA from 1 species
UACGGAGGGUGCAAACGUUGCUCGGAAUCAUUGGGCGUAAAGCGCACGUAGGCGGCGCGUUAAGUCGGGUGUGAAAGCCCUGGGCUCAACCCAGGAAGUGCAUUCGAAACUGGCGCGCUUGAAUAUGGAAGAGGGUCGCGGAAUUCCCGGUGUAGAGGUGAAAUUCGUAGAUAUCGGGAGGAACACCAGUGGCGAAGGCGGCGACCCGGGCCAAUAUUGACGCUGAGGUGCGAAAGCGUGGGGAGCAAACAGG